rnacentral:rRNA from 1 species
AAAAGAAACCAACAGGGAUUGCCUUAGUAGCGGCGAGUGAAGCGGCAAAAGCUCAAAUUUGAAAUCUGGCACUUUCAGUGUCCGAGUUGUAAUUUGAAGAAGGUAUCUUUGGGUCUGGCUCUUGUCUAUGUUUCUUGGAACAGAACGUCACAGAGGGUGAGAAUCCCGUGCGAUGAGAUGACCCAGACCUAUGUAAAGUUCCUUCGAAGAGUCGAGUUGUUUGGGAAUGCAGCUCUAAGUGGGUGGUAAAUUCCAUCUAAAGCUAAAUAUUGGCGAGAGACCGAUAGCGAACAAGUACAGUGAUGGAAAGAUGAAAAGAACUUUGAAAAGAGAGUGAAAAAGUACGUGAAAUUGUUGAAAGGGAAGGGCUUGAGAUCAGACUUGGUAUUUUGUAUGUUACUCUCUCGGGGGUGGCCUCUACAGUUUACCGGGCCAGCAUCAGUUUGGGCGGUAGGACAAUUGCAAAGAAAUGUGGCACUGCCUCGGUAGUGUGUUAUAGUCUUUGUCGAUACUGCCAGCCUAGACUGAGGACUGCGGCUUCGGCCUAGGAUGUUGGCAUAAUGAUCUUAAGUCGCCCGUC